AGGAUAAACGCUGGCGGCGUGCCUAACACAUGCAAGUCGAACGCCCUACGCAAGUAGGGAGUGGCGGACGGGUGAGGAACACGUGGGUUAUCUGCCUUUCGGUGAGGAAUACCAGCGAGAAAUCGCUGACAAUACCGCAUACGGUUCUUUCGAGAGGAAGAACGGAAGUCGCAAGACGCCGGGAGAUGAGCCUGCGCCCGAUUAGUUAGUUGGUGGGGUAAAAGCCUACCAAGACUGCAAUCGGUAGCUGGUCUGAGAGGACGAUCAGCCACACUGGGAUUGAGAACGGCCCAGACUCCUACGGGGGGCAGCAGUGAGGAAUUUUCCGCAAUGGACGAAAGUCUGACGGAGCAACGCCGCGUGCAGGAGGAAGGUUUUCGGAUCGUAAACUGCUUUUCUCGGGGACGAGCAAGGACGGUACCCGAGGAAGAAGCCCCGGCUAACUACGUGCCAGCAGCCGC
rnacentral:rRNA from 1 species